UACGAAGGGGGCGAGCGUUGUUCGGAUUUACUGGGCGUAAAGGGCGCGCAGGCGGCGACAUUUGUCAGGCGUGAAAGCCCCGGGCUUAACCCGGAAAGGUCAGCCGAUACUGCGGGGCUAGAGUGCAGAAGGGGCAACUGGAAUUCUCGGUGUAGCGGUGAAAUGCGUAGAUAUCGAGAGGAACACCGGUGGCGAAGGCGGCAUCCUGGACCGGCAUUGACGCUGAGGAGCGAAAGCCAGGGGAGCAAACGGG
rnacentral:rRNA from 1 species